rnacentral:rRNA from 1 species
CCUACGGGAGGCAGCAGUGGGGAAUUUUGGACAAUGGGCGCAAGCCUGAUCCAGCCAUGCCGCGUGAGUGAAGAAGGCCUUCGGGUUGUAAAGCUCUUUCGGUGGGGAAGAAAUUGCACGGGCGAAUACCCUGUGUAGAUGACGGUACCUGGAGAAGAAGCACCGGCUAACUACGUGCCAGCAGCCGCGGUAAU